UUGUUCGUUCAACUUAAUUAUUAUUUCUUUUUUAUUCCUGUAUAAGUAUUUGCACAUAUAUAUAUAAUAUGAUCUUCCAAACCAGGCCUGGAUGACUCUGUUAAGUUCUACAACAAACGUCAAGAACGUUUGAACUCUUUGUAUGAGGGAACGCUGGACCAGGAAAAGAGCAAGCGCUUCAAGACCAUUCUGGGUAGAAUGAGAGUUGAAGGUUUGGAUGUUUAUGACCCAAAUCUUUUGAGUUCCUCAUGUAUUAUGAAGAUAGCAGAAGGUUCUGGCUAUCAAGUUGGAGAAGUAGAGGAAGCCUACAAGCAUGCUGCCAGAAGCUUUGAAUUGGUUCAUAAACCAAUUUACUCUUAGGUAUCUACUUCUUAUAAUAUUUUUUAUUAAUCUAAUUCUAUCCUAUUUGUAAUUUUUUCAUUUAUAGUUUUAUCCUAUAAUUCAACUGCUGAUAGUUUUCAGUUUUUGAGCUUUCAGCUGCAAUAGUUUUUAAUUGAUAAAUUGAAGUAGAACCUAAUUUGAUAAUUCAUGUCAAAAGAUUGAAUUUCAAAAUUGCGAGGAGACUUCUUUAAUCAAUUUAGUGGAUGAGAAUGUGAAUGAAGGAUGACAAGAGGAUAAGAUCACAACAUAACUGAAGUUGGGUAAACAGUAAACAAGAAUUAAGAUGGAGUUCUGAAAAUCAAAUUUUUUGCAUGUAAAGUUCCGAGAUUUUCCUUUUCUGUUGUUCUUUUUUCUUUCUGUAUAUUAUGUAAGUCAGUGAGUAAAUAAGGAAUGGAAUAAAAUUCUGAAAAUUAUAAAAAAUAGAAAAAUAAAGUGUUAUCCUUGCUUGCUACCCAUUUCCCAAGCUGCAUCGGCUCAUUAAUUGUCCGAGUUUCAUAGGCUUUCGCAGCAGCAACCAGAGGUUGAAUGUCAAUCUCAGCCUCGCCCCUUUUGUCUACCAUCAAGAAAACGUGUUCAUCAGUGCAGUUGUCCCUAACUCACAAUUUUCCUGGAAUUUGGUGAGCACAACAGGCCCGGUAGAGGACAAGUGACUAGACAAGCUAGAGGAAAUUUUAGUAGCAUUAGCAGGCUUCGAGACUAGAUGAUUGAGCUACUAACUAGGCACAAUACAGUGCAUGGAAUCUGGUGUCAUUGCAUAAUUGGUUGCCACUUACACACGUUCUUGGAUGUAUAUAUGCUAUCAAAGAGAGCUUCUUAUUCUUUUGGGAACUACACAUUGGCGGAACAGGAAAGAUUACAAUAUCAAGCACGUGGGUAAUGCUUGAUCUUAAUUUUCAAUCUCCAUCACUGUAUAUCUGACUAAACAGUUGGACUAUAUCCUUCCACCGCUACCUUUCAUCAAGUUUAGUAAAGGACUCUCCAACCUGUCUUUUUCGCCUUGUUGAUUAGGGUAUACCUAAUUUGAUGAAAGUGUGAGACGAAGUUUGAUUUGCAGAGCUGUCAUGGUGAUACUGCAGGGACCCUUUGGUCUUGAAUCUUCUUGGCUUCUUGAACAUGGCGGUGGCAAUGAAUUUCUGUUGCUGGGUACUGCAUAUGCAAUGGGAUUUCCUUUCAAGCAAGAUGAUGUUAUGUGCCUUCUU